CCCACAUAAACAAGCAGUGACGUCAUAGUGAAAUAAGGCAAUUUAUCUAUAUGGUUUUAUAUUCAGAGCCGUCUGCUACCACUCCAGAAACAUUCUCGACUACUAAAACAACUACAAGGAACCACGAACUAUGAAGACGAACGCAGAUCCAGUGAUAACCAGUUGCUUAAAGAAGUGAAAUCGGAUGCUGUUGGUAAUCAGUCUAAUGACCUUUUGUUAAAAACUCCUCUAUCUAAAGAUGUGUAAAUUUCAUAGUUCGUUUCGUAGUAGCCAUGUAAACAUGCCUUAAGCUAAGUACCUUUAAGUGUUCUCACACAUCCCCCUUCCUAAAUUCUAGUUUCAUAAAGGUUCACGCUCAUCUUUAGUUAGCAACUCGAAUAUCCCGUUAAGUCUGCUAACUUUUAAUUUUAAUUUCUGUAAUAUAAAAAAAUAUAUUUUCAGUUCAUUUUAGCAUAGAUACUGUAAUCUACCAAAGCUGAAUGCCGAGAAAAAUACUAUUUUAAUUUUUCUUUGAAAGUGCAGAUUGAGAAAGCCUUCAAAAAAUUAACGUCACACCCAUCUGAAAUGAAAUUUUGACCAAUCAAAACGCGCGUUAUAGCAUUUUGAAGUUAUUUGUUAAACAACUGGUCUGAACUGAACUUCUCUAUAGGGGGCUACGAUCAAGUUUUCGACUGCUUAAAGAGCGUUAAUCAAUCUUUUGAAAGCUAUAGAACAAAGAAAC